rnacentral:rRNA from 1 species
GUACACGCUGUGACUAGCAUAUCAAUAAGCGGAGGAAAAGAAACCUAACAAGGAUUCCCCUAGUAACGGCGAGUGAAGCGGGAAGAGCUCAAAUUUGAAAUCUUAAAGGGUUUCCCUUUACGAAUUGUAGUUUAAAGAAGUGUUUUCUGUUGAGGUUUUGGUAAAAGUUCUUUGGAAUAGGACAUCAUAGAGGGUGAGAAUCCCGUAUUUGACCUUUACUUUCAACUUUGUGAUACACUUUCAAAGAGUCGGAUUGUUUGGGAAUGCAGUCCAAAAUGGGUGGUAAAUUUCAUCUAAAGCUAAAUAUUGGCGAGAGACCGAUAGCGAACAAGUACCGUGAGGGAAAGAUGAAAAGAACUUUGAAAAGAGAGUUAAACAGUACGUGAAAUUGUCAAAAGGGAAGCGUUUGACACCAGUGUUGUUUUUCCUGAAAAUCAAUUAAAGAACUGUUUAUGCUAAGCUGUUUAGACUUUAUCAGCUAUCUGUUUAGUUUUGAGCUUUUCUUUAAUGCACUUUUCAGUUAACAAGUCAACAUCAAUUUCUUUUGCUGUAAAAAAGCUUGAGGAAGGUGGCUUGAGAUUCGUCUUAAGUGUUUAUAGCCUCUUGCCUAUGCAGUCGGAGAGAUUGAGGUCUGCAGCGUAGAUCCUUCGGGGCUAAAUGCAUUUGUGCUAAGUUAUAGCAUUUUAUAGACAACUUGUUGACUAUGAUUUGUCUUGUAGCUUACUCGCUUAUGUUAUUUUACCUACGCUUAGGAUGUUGACGCAUGAGAUAUACGC